rnacentral:rRNA from 1 species
AUUGAACGCUGGCGGCAGGCUUAACACAUGCAAGUCGAGCGGAGAUGAGGUGCUUGCACCUUAUCUUAGCGGCGGACGGGUGAGUAAUGCUUAGGAAUCUGCCUAUUAGUGGGGGACAACAUUCCGAAAGGAAUGCUAAUACCGCAUACGCCCUACGGGGGAAAGCAGGGGAUCUUCGGACCUGCGCUAAUAGAUGAGCCUAAGUCGGAUUAGCUAGUUGGUGGGGUAAAGGCCUACCAAGGCGACGAUCUGUAGCGGGUCCGAGAGGAUGAUCCGCCACACUGGGACUGAGACACGGCCCAGACUCCUACGGGAGGCAGCAGUGGGGAAUAUUGGACAAUGGGCGGAAGCCUGAUCCAGCCAUGCCGCGUGUGUGAAGAAGGCCUUUUGGUUGUAAAGCACUUUAAGCGAGGAGGAGGCUACCUGGAUUAAUACUCUAGGAUAGUGGACGUUACUCGCAGAAUAAGCACCGGCUAACUCUGUGCCAGCAGCCGCCGUAAAAC